rnacentral:hammerhead_ribozyme from 1 species
AUUUAGAUGAAGAGUCCCAUAUAGGACGAAAUAUUCAUCUUGGAU